rnacentral:tRNA from 1 species
GCCUGGGUGGCUCAGUUGGUUAAGCAUCUGACUUUGACUCAGGUCAUGAUCUCAUAGCUCGUGGGUUCAAGCCCCAUGUCAGGUU